GGGGGCUGGGGGUUCUGUUCUAGAAAGGUCCUGCUUGGUUACAAAAUGAGAAUGCAAAUGCGUUUGUUUUAGGCCCUUGUGUGAUACGUGAUAAAACCUGAACUUUUCUGCCUAAUACAAAAUAAUAGGACUGAUGCAAAUGUCAAUGACUGCAAUCAUGGUAGAGCUUUUCUUAUUUAGACUGUUACAAGUAACAUCCACAGUACUGUUGCUAGCACAAAUUCAGACUUGUCCUACAAAGGCCUCAUAUGCCAUGAUACCUAUCAGCAAAGUGCUGAUAUCUGUGCUGAAAUUUCCACCCUUGACCAGAGAGACUAAAAUAGUUCUACCACCUCUUCUACUUCUUCCUGCUGUGUAAUCUUUGCUCCCUACAGUUUCUGCUCAAAACACCAGUCUCCGAGUCAGUAAAACCUGUUAUUUUCCUUAGUUUAUUUAUGUUUCUGAGGAAGGCGGGACUGCUUUGGGGAGUUAUUUCCAUCACGUGUGACUGAGGACCACGUGGUUUAUAAAUUCUAGAGAAUGUACAGGGAUAACAUCUUGGAGCCUCAGCCUCAACCUCCUCGCCACCAGGUGUGACAUACUGGAUUGAUCUGCAACCUAGAGCUGUAUUAUGGGCCAUGAUGCUCUUCCAGUGAGGAGCAGAAACUCAGUGGUAUGAAGACUGCCUGCCUGAAUAUUUCUGGCUACUUCAUGAAAGUACAGAGGUUGUUACAUUUCUUUUCUACUCUGUGAAGUAAUUUUACAGGACUUUGAAAGCCUCUGAGAAGUCUGUGGAACAGUUUCCUGAGUCUUUGGCAUGGGAGUCCUACACAGCACAGCUGCUUCAAUAUUGUGUUCUGAAAUCUCGGUUCUGGUUACUGUGGAAUAAAAAGCUGAGCACAGGAACUAGAGGGAAAUUCUCCAGCCUUUUGAACUCAACUUGUCCUUUCUGGGUAUGUUUUAUUUCUUAUCCAACGUAAGUCUAAGAAGGCAAGGUUUUCAUGGCAACAUAAUGAUUGCUACCCAAUAAGGGAAGGUGAUUUCCUGAAAGAUUCCUGCUGUUUUCUUAGCAGGUGGAAACUUCAGUGGCUGCAGAGGCUGUGUGCUGUUAUUGUCCUUCCUGGACUCAUUCUUUCCAUUCUGAGACAGGAAACAAAACAUCCAGAGGAAACAAUUGGUAGUUCUGUCCCUAUUUCU